rnacentral:rRNA from 1 species
UACGUAGGGUGCGAGCGUUGUCCGGAAUUAUUGGGCGUAAAGAGCUCGUAGGCGGUUUGUCGCGUCGACUGUGAAAACCUACAGCUUAACUGUGGGCUUGCAGUCGAUACGGGCAGACUUGAGUUCGGUAGGGGAGACUGGAAUUCCUGGUGUAGCGGUGAAAUGCGCAGAUAUCAGGAGGAACACCGGUGGCGAAGGCGGGUCUCUGGGCCGAUACUGACGCUGAGGAGCGAAAGCGUGGGGAG